rnacentral:rRNA from 1 species
UACGGGGGGUGCAAGCGUUGUUCGGAAUUAUUGGGCGUAAAGAGCGUGUAGGCGGCCGAGCAAGUCAGAUGUGAAAUCCCCGGGCUUAACCCGGGAAGUGCAUUUGAAACUGCUAGGCUUGAGUAGGGGAGAGGAAAGUGGAAUUCCUGGUGUAGAGGUGAAAUUCGUAGAUAUCAGGAGGAACACCGGUGGCGAAGGCGACUUUCUGGCCCUAUACUGACGCUGAGACGCGAGAGCGUGGGUAGCAAACAGGAUUAGAUACCCUGGUAGUCCACGCCGUAAACGAUGUUCACUAGGUGUUGGGGGUAUUGACCCUCUCAGUGCCGCAGCUAACGCAUUAAGUGAACCGCCUGGGGAGUACGGUCGCAAGAUUAAA